UACGGGGGGGGCAAGCGUUGUUCGGAAUUACUGGGCGUAAAGGGCGCGUAGGCGGCCUGCUAAGUCGAACGUGAAAUCCCUGGGCUCAACCCAGGAACUGCGUCCGAUACUGGUUGGCUUGAAUCCGGGAGAGGGAUGUGGAAUUCCAGGUGUAGCGGUGAAAUGCGUAGAUAUCUGGGAGGAACACCGGUGGCGAAGGCGACAUCCUGGACCGGUAUUGACGCUGAGGCGCGAAAGCCAGGGGAGCAAACGGG
rnacentral:rRNA from 1 species